CUGAAGAAACAGGGAAAUGAAGUCCACAAACAUUUCUGUAUGAUACAGUCAAGAACUCAGUGCUUUGCAACUUUGUCACAACAGCCGUCUACAGAUCUGCAGGGAUGGUGGUACACUGUCGAGGUCAAUCUUCUGCCCCUCAUUCUUGGCUCUGAUCGAAGGAACUAGGAUCGCAAGAUCAAUGCUGACA